rnacentral:lncRNA from 1 species
GAAGCAUAUGUCUCCACACACACAUAGUGUGUGUUCUUGCGUGAAUCAAAGGAGAAGGCAAAGAGAAGGAAUUUGAAAAUUUGCAUGGAUAAUCUAUGGGGUUGGAAGUGUUCAUCAUCUCCUAAGCAUCAAGAAUCACGUUAGCACGGACUCAAGCACGGAAGGCUAGCGAGUCGAAGGGAGGCAAGAAAACAAGCAUUAACAUGGACGCUAAAGGUAAGUGAUUUCCGAACUCACUUCUUAUUAGUUAAAUGAAGAUAUAUAUGUUUGAAUAAUUGUAGUCAAGUAGGAACGUUCACAUAAUUGGAAAUGAUAAGGUAAGAAUUGUUGUAAUGGUUGGUACGAUGUCAAAACCGGUAAAACCUCAAUAUAAGGGUAAGCGGGUCAUAACCUUCUAGUAAAAGGAUAUUAGACAAAGAAUAUGGGAAUUGGGUAUGGAAAAUGUGUGGAAUAAAUUGGGAGUUGGAUAGUGCUAAUUCUGCGUCUCGGAACUCCCGGGACACGCGUCUAGCGAAAAGAAACAAAACAAAGAUUUAGCAUCGGCGUUGCAGAAGCCGCGUCGCCGACGGGGCACCUCUGCGUCGUCGACCCGAUGCCCUGUCCCUACGCCUUAACACGCUACCGACGGCCUUUUUACCCCGACGCGGAAACCCAUGUUGCGUCGCCAACACGGGUUUAGCACGUCGGCGACGCGAUGUUUGAUGCGAGCUUCCAUUUUCAUCGUUUCGCAUAUCCGAUUGAUCCCAGUUUCAACCCGAUGAUCCGUAAGGUUCCCAAGAAGCUUCUUAAGCUUCGGUAGACAUGUGAAACAUCGGUUUUUAAUCAUGCAUCGAGAUGCGAGUAAGAAUACAACUAGUAUGCGAGAACGAAUAGGAAAAGAAUAAUGAAUGUGACCAUGUAUGUGCAGGAUAUAUAUACAUAUAUAUACACACACAUGUGUGUGAUUUGAAUCUUGUUGAUCAACGCGUUAGUAUGUAUUACACACAUGAAGGGAUAGAACUUGUUCAUAGGAAUGUUAUAGGUGGAUAGUUGUAUGCAUGAAUAAGUAUGAUAAUCGAAUGUAAAUUAGUCAAUCGAGACUUGUAUCUGUGAUGUAGAUAUGUAAUCAUAGUGGACGUAAGUAACGUGAACUUAUAUGUGUGAUAUUUGUAUGGGACUGAUUUGCAUGUAAUUGGUUUUAGGAAAGUGUAUACACGUGUUGUAGUUGAAAGAAUGUAUACCAAUGAUACUUGUUUACGCGAAGAUGUGAAUUUUUAAUAUGUUGAGAUUAUGUGUUACUAAUCGUGUUCUGUU